GACGAACGCUGGCGGCGUGCUUAACACAUGCAAGUCGAACGAAGUGGCGAACGUGUGAGUAACGCGUAAUCAACCUGCCCUUCAGAGGGGGACAACAGUUGGAAACGACUGCUAAUACCGCAUCCUUUAGGAUGUUAUUGCGUCUGCUUAGCUAGUUGGAGGGGUAAAGGCCCACCAAGGCGAUGAUCAGUAGCCGGUCUGGGAGGAUGAACGGCCACAGUGGGACUGGGCCACGGCCCAGACUCCUACGGGAGGCAGCAGUAGGGAAUCUUCCGCAAUGGGGGAAAGUCUGACGGAGCAACGCCGCGGGAGUGAUGACGGCCUUCGGGUUGUAAAGCUCUGUUAAUCGGGACGCGGGACAGGAAUAGAAAGCCACGGCUAACUACGUGCCAGCAGCCGCGGUAAUAC
rnacentral:rRNA from 1 species